rnacentral:rRNA from 2 species
UUAAGCGACUAAGCGUACACGGUGGAUGCCCUGGCAGUCAGAGGCGAUGAAGGACGUGCUAAUCUGCGAAAAGCGUCGGUAAGGUGAUAUGAACCGUUACAGCCGGCGAUGUCCGAAUGGGGAAACCCAGUGCAAUUCGUUGCACUAUCGUUAACUGAAUACAUAGGUUAACGAGGCGAACCGGGGGAACUGAAACAUCUAAGUACCCCGAGGAAAAGAAAUCAACCGAGAUUCCCCCAGUAGCGGCGAGCGAACGGGGAGCAGCCCGGAGUCUGAAUCAGCUUGUGUGUUAGUGGAAGCGUCUGGAAAGUCGCAGGGUACAGGGUGAUACUCCCGUACACUAAAACGCACAGGUUGUGAACUCGAAGAGUAGGGCGGGACACGUGGUAUCCUGUCUGAAUAUGGGGGGACCAUCCUCCAAGGCUAAAUACUCCUGACUGACCGAUAGUGAACCAGUACCGUGAGGGAAAGGCGAAAAGAACCCCGGCGAGGGGAGUGAAAAAGAACCUGAAACCGUGUACGUACAAGCAGUAGGAGCCCACUUGUUGGGUGACUGCGUACCUUUUGUAUAAUGGGUCAGCGACUUAUAUUCUGUAGCAAGGUUAACCGUAUAGGGGAGCCGCAGGGAAACCGAGUCUUAACUGGGCGUUAAGUUGCAGGGUAUAGACCCGAAACCCGGUGAUCUAGCCAUGGGCAGGUUGAAGGUUGGGUAACACUAACUGGAGGACCGAACCGACUAAUGUUGAAAAAUUAGCGGAUGACUUGUGGCUGGGGGUGAAAGGCCAAUCAAACCGGGAGAUAGCUGGUUCUCCCCGAAAGCUAUUUAGGUAGCGCCUCGUGAAUUCAUCUUCGGGGGUAGAGCACUGUUUCGGCUAGGGGGUCAUCCCGACUUACCAACCCGAUGCAAACUACGAAUACCGAAGAAUGUUAUCACGGGAGACACACGGCGGGUGCUAACGUCCGUCGUGAAGAGGGAAACAACCCAGACCGCCAGCUAAGGUCCCAAAGUCAUGGUUAAGUGGGAAACGAUGUGGGAAGGCCCAGACAGCCAGGAUGUUGGCUUAGAAGCAGCCAUCAUUUAAAGAAAGCGUAAUAGCUCACUGGUCGAGUCGGCCUGCGCGGAAGAUGUAACGGGGCUAAACCAUGCACCGAAGCUGCGGCAGCGACACUAUGUGUUGUUGGGUAGGGGAGCGUUCUGUAAGCCGUUGAAGGUGGCCUGUGAGGGUUGCUGGAGGUAUCAGAAGUGCGAAUGCUGACAUAAGUAACGAUAAUGCGGGUGAAAAACCCGCACGCCGGAAGACCAAGGGUUCCUGUCCAACGUUAAUCGGGGCAGGGUGAGUCGACCCCUAAGGCGAGGCCGAAAGGCGUAGUCGAUGGGAAACAGGUUAAUAUUCCUGUACUCGGUGUUACUGCGAAGGGGGGACGGAGAAGGCUAUGUUGGCCGGGCGACGGUUGUCCCGGUUUAAGCAUGUAGGCGGAUGUUCCAGGUAAAUCCGGAACGUCACUAACGCUGAGGUGUGAUGACGAGGCACUACGGUGCUGAAGUGACAAAUGCCCUGCUUCCAGGAAAAGCCUCUAAGCAUCAGGUAACAUCAAAUCGUACCCCAAACCGACACAGGUGGUCAGGUAGAGAAUACCAAGGCGCUUGAGAGAACUCGGGUGAAGGAACUAGGCAAAAUGGUGCCGUAACUUCGGGAGAAGGCACGCUGAUGGUAAGUAAAGUGACUUGCUCAUGGAGCUGAAAUCAGUCGAAGAUACCAGCUGGCUGCAACUGUUUAUUAAAAACACAGCACUGUGCAAACACGAAAGUGGACGUAUACGGUGUGACGCCUGCCCGGUGCCGGAAGGUUAAUUGAUGGGGUUAUCCGUAAGGAGAAGCUCUUGAUCGAAGCCCCGGUAAACGGCGGCCGUAACUAUAACGGUCCUAAGGUAGCGAAAUUCCUUGUCGGGUAAGUUCCGACCUGCACGAAUGGCGUAAUGAUGGCCAGGCUGUCUCCACCCGAGACUCAGUGAAAUUGAACUCGCUGUGAAGAUGCAGUGUACCCGCGGCAAGACGGAAAGACCCCGUGAACCUUUACUAUAGCUUGACACUGAACACUGGUCCUUGAUGUGUAGGAUAGGUGGGAGGCUUUGAAGUGUGGACGCCAGUCUGCAUGGAGCCAUCCUUGAAAUACCACCCUUUAAUGGCUGGUGUUCUAACGUGGGCCCCUGAUCGGGGUUGCGGACAGUGUCUGGUGGGUAGUUUGACUGGGGCGGUCUCCUCCUAAAGAGUAACGGAGGAGCACGAAGGUCAGCUAAUCCUGGUCGGACAUCAGGAGGUUAGUGCAAUGGCAUAAGCUGGCUUGACUGCGAGCGUGACGGCGCGAGCAGGUGCGAAAGCAGGUCAUAGUGAUCCGGUGGUUCUGAAUGGAAGGGCCAUCGCUCAACGGAUAAAAGGUACUCCGGGGAUAACAGGCUGAUACCGCCCAAGAGUUCAUAUCGACGGCGGUGUUUGGCACCUCGAUGUCGGCUCAUCACAUCCUGGGGCUGAAGUAGGUCCCAAGGGUAUGGCUGUUCGCCAUUUAAAGUGGUACGCGAGCUGGGUUUAGAACGUCGUGAGACAGUUCGGUCCCUAUCUGCCGUGGGCGCUGGAGAAUUGAGGGGGGCUGCUCCUAGUACGAGAGGACCGGAGUGGACGCAUCACUGGUGUUCGGGUUGUCAUGCCAAUGGCAUUGCCCGGUAGCUAAAUGCGGAAGAGAUAAGUGCUGAAAGCAUCUAAGCACGAAACUUGCCCCGAGAUGAGUUCUCCCUGACUCCUUGAGAGUCCUGAAGGAACGUUGAAGACGACGACGUUGAUAGGCCGGGUGUGUAAGCGCAGCGAUGCGUUGAGCUAACCGGUACUAAUGAACCGUGAGGCUUAACCUU